rnacentral:lncRNA from 1 species
AUCCCAUCCUGGGACUGGUUGGCCCCAACUCCGAGGCCUGUUCUUCCCUCAACUGCAGGGCCUACUUCACUGGAGAGGGCUUAGUCUUGACCUGCUCUUUCAUUUCUAGCCAAUUCUCCAACCUCAUUUCUCUUGACCUUGACAACUCUUUUGAAAAGGGUUGUCACCCAUGAUGUAUGUAUUAACCAAAGGACUGAUGAAGAGCUGGUGAUGGAGUGGGCCAGCUGAUGUUCCCUCCUCAGCCAGCCAGCCAGGGUGCCUAAGA